GCCUCGGUGAUCUAAUGGGUUAGGAUGCUCGUAUGGAAUACAAUAGAUCCGGGUUCAAGUCCUGGCCGAGCUA
rfam:Trachymyrmex cornetzi contig50992, whole genome shotgun sequence.